GAAAGUACACAUUAUUUCAAGCAGAAAGAAAUUUUUUUAUCAGAAACCAAAACAGCCCCUUUCAUGCCAAUUCGUAUUUGGAAAUACUUGUGAAAUCAAAAUAGUGUGCACCAAUUGAGAGCGGUAGCAGAGAGACAUAGAAAAAGAUUUUGAACGUGUAUUCAAAUUUAUAUAUUUCCAAAAACGAGGUACGAUACUUUAUGUGUAAGUGCUUUUAUUUCCUUAUACUUUUAUAUUUAAUUAAAUAUACAUGGAUUGCCAGUGGACAUUCAUUUUUUUAAAAAGAUAUGAAAUCCUACGGAAUUAUAAGAAGACCUAAGAUAGAUGUGUCACUUGGUUACCGAUAUUCUCCAUAAAAUCAUAGUAGUAUGAAAUGUAUAAUUUUUAUUGUUAUAUUUAUAUAUGAAAACUGCACGUAUCUUACUGAGUGUUUUCGAAUACUCACUCUUACAAAUUUUUACAGGUUAGGGGUCGAUUGAAACUGUGACGAAUUGCUGAUUCGAACGGCUAAGGAAAUCCAAUGAGAAAGGAAAAUAAACAAUUAGUUUGCUACUAUGUGUCUAAUUUUAUUUGUUGGCUCUAAUUGUUCAAAAGGCCCACUUGUUUAAUUAGUCAUUUGAUUAUGUUUAGAUUUUUAGAAACUCAAAUCUCGUGUUUUAAAUUGAUGUUUUGGUUGUUGAUAAAGAAUUUCUUUUAUUCGUGUCGCUCCG
rnacentral:lncRNA from 1 species